rnacentral:rRNA from 1 species
AGCAGCCGCGGUAAUUCCAGCUCCAAUAGCGUAUAUUAAAGUUGUUGCAGUUAAAAAGCUCGUAGUUGAAUUUCGAGAUCAGUACGCUGGUCGUGCCUUCGGUAUGCACUGGUGUCACUGGUUUCUCCCUUCUGAAGAACCGUCAUGUCAUUAAGUUGGUGUGGCGGGGAAUCAGGACUGUUACUUUGAAAAAUUAGAGUGUUUAAAGCAGGCUCGCGCUUGAAUACAUUAGCAUGGAAUAAUGAAAUAGGACGUUUGACCCUAUUUUGUUGGUUUCUAGGAUCGACGUAAUGAUUAAUAGGGAUAGUUGGGGGCAUUAGUAUUCAAUUGUCAGAGGUGAAAUUCUUGGAUUUAUUGAAGACUAACUACUGCGAAAGCAUUUGCCAAGGAUGUUUUCAUUAAUCAAGAACAAAAGUUAGGGGAUCAAAGACGAUCAGAUACCGUCGUAGUCUUAACCAUAAACUAUGCCGACUAGGGAUCGGAUGAUGUUAAUUUUUAAUGACUCAUUC